GACGAACGCUGGCGGCGUGCUUAACACAUGCAAGUCGAACGGAAAGGCCCUGCUUUUGUGGGGUGCUCGAGUGGCGAACGGGUGAGUAACACGUGAGUAACCUGCCCUUGACUUUGGGAUAACUUCAGGAAACUGGGGCUAAUACCGGAUAGGAGCUCCUGCUGCAUGGUGGGGGUUGGAAAGUUUCGGCGGUUGGGGAUGGACUCGCGGCUUAUCAGCUUGUUGGUGGGGUAGUGGCUUACCAAGGCUUUGACGGGUAGCCGGCCUGAGAGGGUGACCGGCCGCCAUGGGACUGAGAUACGGCCCAGACUCCUACGGGGGGCAGCAGUGGGGAAUAUUGCACAAUGGGCGGAAGCCUGAUGCAGCAACGCCGCGUGCGGGAUGACGGCCUUCGGGUUGUAAACCGCUUUCGCCUGUGACGAAGCGUGAGUGACGGUAAUGGGUAAAGAAGCACCGGCUAACUACGUG
rnacentral:rRNA from 1 species